CUCACCCCAGGCCUUGGUCACCCUCUCUCAGACUCUUGAGUGCUGAGAUUACAGGAAUUUGCUACCGCCCACAGUUUACCCAGUGAUUUUCAGCCUGAGUGUUACUCGGAGGCCUCUGAGAGGAUUCCAGUGCAGGAUGGAGAUCUUUCUAGAUUCUCUUUGAUUUGCCGUUCUCGCCUGAAAUGAAAAUGUUACAGUUUUCCGUAAAUGCAGAAUUUAUGCCAGAGUGCAAGUAUAACUUAACAGCAAGGGAGCUGCCGCCGGAUUGAAGGCCCCGCAUUCUCUUCCCCCUUUCCUGAGUUUUACCCGUGUUUCUCUCAGCCUGUCAGAUUCACUCUCCAGCAUCUCACAUGGAGUUGACAGACUUGUUCCAGGAAGUCACCACGUUAACAUGAACCAACCGUGGCCCGCCAAACAAGUGCCAACCGGAGGCUCCAUCUCUAGACAAGGAGGCGGGUCAUGCGAAAACACGGCAGCCUGUGACUAUGCUUGAGUCGUUAGUAGUUAUUUUCCUGUGUCUGUGACAA